UUCAGGCUGCCCUGGCCUAGACCAUGUGGUUGUGGUGACUUCCCCAGACACCUGGCCUCAGAGGCCCCAACCUUGUGCCAACAGUCUUUCUGGAGGGAGCAGGGAAGAGGGGAGGGUGGGGUGUAGACAAGAGCCCAAGCCUGGGACACCUCCAGGCCCCACUCCAGCAGCUCUAAAGGGGGCUUCACUUUUCUAGAUCCUUGCAAGGAUGAAGAAAUGAGAACCUGAACAGGCAGCUCAGGCCCCACCCCCAGCCAGAACUGCUGGCUACUCUACACUGAUCGGACCUGGUGACUUGAGGUGAACAGAGAAUGUGGCCCCAGGAUGGCUGCUCUGGCUUGCCCCAUUUCUGGAUCCAGUGAAGACCUCACUUCCAGUCCUUCCUCCUUCCCAAGGUCGUCCCAGACAACCCCUGCCCAGCAACAGCCCCCAAGCCAGGCCCCAAAACCGGACAGCAAGAAGCCAGUGGUGUUCCGUGACACAAACAUGCAUUCGUUUUAUUCACAAAA